rnacentral:tRNA from 1 species
GCCGGGAUGGCUCAGUUGGNAGAGCAGAGGACUGAAAAUCC